UACGUAGGGGGGCAAGCGUUGUCCGGAAUCAUUGGGCGUAAAGAGCGUGUAGGCGGCCCGAUAAGUCCGCUGUGAAAGUCCAGGGCUCAACCCUGGAAUGCCGGUGGAUACUGUCGGGCUCGAAUCCGGAAGAGGUGAGUGGAAUUCCUGGUAUAGCGGUGAAAUGCGCAGAUAUCAGGAGGAACACCAAUGGCGAAGGCAGCUCACUGGGACGGUAUUGACGCUGAGACGCGAAAGCGUGGGGAGCAAACAGG
rnacentral:rRNA from 1 species